ensembl:lncRNA
CCUAGGGCCAUCCCAUGGCUGCACUGACUGCUCUGGACCAGCCACCCUGUGCAGCGCUGGUGUGGACAGCCCGGGAGUGACCUGCCCGGCUCCCUCACCGGGAAGUCCCUGAAAGGGAUGCACUUGGUGAUUUAUUGUUGGAUGGAAGUUUCUAUUAAACAACCCUUCCUUUCCCAGCCUAGCUCUCGGACUCACAUUUACCUCUGCUUUCUCUGAAGACGAAGUGGAAACCUCUGCCCAGCCUGGUUGGUAUAAGUGGGAGGAGUGGUCCCUGGAGGAGGAGAGACCUUGCUGCAAGGCCUGGGGACUUAGAAGAAUACAUCAGAAUUGUUAAAGUAAGACGUCUGUAUCACCAUUCGCGUGUUCAACACAAUGCUUGCAGAUGGCCCCAUCUUUCCUAUUCAGGGCAAUUUGGAGUGCAGCAAAUGUGCCACAAUUAAGAAAACUGAAAUGGAACAUAACUUCUUUAAUAUUCCUUUUUAGGCUAAGCAUCAAGCACAAGACAAGCAUCAUCAUGUGCCUGAUGGCGUGGAAGGCUCUGUGGACACAAGGGAUGCUUAGAAGAAGGAUAAAGAUCACUUUCAGAAGAGAGAAAAAGGAGUACACCAAAAAUUACCACCCAAGGUGUCGAUGUUAGUGAAGAAACGUUCUCUGUGUUCGGUGGAAGGCUAUCUUCCUUCUGUUUCACUAGUCAGAGACUGCCUGCAUGCUUAGAGCACACGUUGGAGCUUGGAAUGAGGGUCUUGUGCUGCGGACAAAGCAAAUCACCGAAGAGAAUCUUACCUUGGGCAGAAUGGCUGUG